rnacentral:rRNA from 1 species
ACCGGAAGUGCAGCUUGCAUGCCUGCAGGUCGACGAUUUUCCGGUUGAUCCCGCCGGACCCUACUGCUAUCGGGAUGAGACUAAGCCAUGCGAGUCAUGCGCUCUCCAGCCAUGUAGAGAGUGCGGCAUACGGCUCAAUAACACGUAGCUAACCUGCCCUUAGGAUGAGGAUAACCCCGGGAAACUGGGGCUAAUACUCAAUAGGCGGAGAUACCUGGAAUGGCUUUCCACUGAAAAGAUGUUAGGAACAUGCUUCUGACAUUGCCUAAGGAUGGGGCUGCGUCCGAUCAGGUUGUUGGUGGGGUAACGGCCUACCAAGCCUAUAACCGGUACGGGCCCUGAGAGGGGGAGCCCGGAGAUGGGAACUGAGACAAGGUCCCAGGUCCUACGGGGCGCAGCAGGCGCGAAAACUCCACAAUGCACAAAUGUGUGAUGGGGUCAUCCCGAGUGCCGUCCGUGAGGAUGGCUUUUACCCAGCGUAAGGGACUGGGAGAAUAAAAGGGGGGCAAGUCUGGUGUCAGCCGCCGCGGUAAUACCAGCCCCUUGAGUGGUAGGGACGAUUAUUUGGCCUAAAGCGUCCGUAGCCUGCUCAGUAAGUCUUUCGUUAAAUCUAACGAUUCAAUCGUUAGACCGCGUAAGAUACCGCUGGGCUAGAGGAUGGGAGAGGUCGACGGUAGUCCUGGGGUAGGGGUGAAAUCCUAUAAUCCCAGGAGGACCACCAGUGGCGAAGGCGGUCGACUAGAACAUGCCUGACGGUGAGGGACGAAAGCUGGGGGAGCGAACCGGAUUAGACACCCGGGUAGUCCCAGCUGUAAACGAUGCUGGCUAGGUGUUGGAACAGCCACGAGCUGCUCCAGUGCCGCAGAGAAGUCGUUAAGCCAGCCGCCUGGGAAGUACGGUCGCAAGACUGAAACUUAAAGGAAUUGGCGGGGGAGCACCACAAGGGGUGAAGGCUGCGGUUCA